UACGUAGGGGGCGAGCGUUGUCCGGAUUCAUUGGGCGUAAAGCGCUUUAAGGCGGUUCGGUAAGUCGGGUGUGAAACCUCCAGGCUCAACCUGGAGACGCCACUCGAUACUGCUGUGACUAGAGUUCGGUAGGGGAUCACGGAAUUCCUGGUGUAGCGGUGAAAUGCGCAGAUAUCAGGAGGAACACCGGUGGCGAAGGCGGUUCUCUGGGCAUGUCCUGACGCUGAGGAGCGAAAGUGUGGGGAGCGAACAGG
rnacentral:rRNA from 1 species